UGGGGAAUUUUCCGCAAUGGGCGAAAGCCUGACGGAGCAAUGCCGCGUGGAGGUGGAAGGCCUACGGGUCGUCAACUUCUUUUCUCGGAGAAGAGACAAUGACGGUAUCUGAGGAAUAAGCAUCGGCUAACUCUGUGCUAG
rnacentral:rRNA from 1 species